CGGCAGCACAGGAGAGCUUGCUCUCUGGGUGGCGAGUGGCGGACGGGUGAGGAAUCAUCGGAAUCUACUCUGUCGUGGGGGAUAACGUAGGGAAACUUACGCUAAUACCGCAUACGACCUACGGGUGAAAGUGGGGGACCGCAAGGCCUCACGCGAUUGAAUGAGCCGAUGUCGGAUUAGCUAGUUGGCGGGGUAAAGGCCCACCAAGGCGACGAUCCGUAGCUGGUCUGAGAGGAUGAUCAGCCACACUGGAACUGAGACACGGUCCAGACUCCUACGGGAGGCAGCAGUGGGGAAUAUUGGACAAUGGGCGCAAGCCUGAUCCAGCCAUACCGCGUGAGUGAAGAAGGCCCUCGGGUUGUAAAGCUCUUUUGUUGGGAAAGAAAUCCUGUUGGCUAAUACCCGGCGGGGAUGACGGUACCCAAAGAAUAAGCACCGGCUAACUUCGUGCCAGCAGCCGCGGUAAUACGAAGGGUGCAAGCGUUACUCGGAAUUACUGGGCGUAAAGCGUGCGUAGGUGGUUGCUUAAGUCUGUCGUGAAAGCCCUGGGCUCAACCUGGGAAUUGCGAUGGAUACUGGGCGACUAGAGUGUGGUAGAGGGUGGCGGAAUUCCCGGUGUAGCAGUGAAAUGCGUAGAGAUCGGGAGGAACAUCCGUGGCGAAGGCGGCCACCUGGGCCAACACUGACACUGAGGCACGAAAGCGUGGGGAGCAAACAGGAUUAGAUACCCUGGUAGUCCACGCCCUAAACGAUGCGAACUGGAUGUUGGGUUCAACUUGGAACCCAGUAUCGAAGCUAACGCGU
rnacentral:rRNA from 1 species